rnacentral:sRNA from 1 species
CACACGCGAACCUUCAGCGCUUGGCGGAUUAAAAGCCCCGUCCGGUCGCUCCGGUGAGGUCGGCCCCAGAUAUGUAUGGGGUGCGCCUUUCUCCAGGUUCGCGGCGGUCCAACCGGAAAACAAGGAUAUUU